UACAGAGGUCUCAAGCGUUGUUCGGAUUCAUUGGGCGUAAAGGGUGCGUAGGCGGCGCGGUAAGUCGGGGUGUGAAAUCUCGGAGCUUAACUCCGAAACUGCAUUCGAUACUGCCGUGCUUGAGGACUGGAGAGGAGACUGGAAAUUUACGGUGUAGCGGUGAAAUGCGUAGAUAUCGUAAGGAAGACCAGUGGCGAAGGCGGGUCUCUGGGACGUGACUGACGCUGAGACGCGAAAGCGUGGGGAGCAAACAGG
rnacentral:rRNA from 1 species